rnacentral:rRNA from 1 species
ACCAUGAUACUUUCCUCCUCACCAGUGAAAUAAUGCGCAGAAGGGGGGCGCCAAGUUGGGUCUUCCAAAGAGGAUGUGUGAGAUGUUUCCGUAGAUUUAUCACAGUCUCCCCCCCGCUAUCUAAUUCUCACUAUUGUGGCGUGUGUGCUUUUAAUGCAAAGCCCAAAGAGACCAAAAAAAUUUCCCCAUUUGUAAAAAGGUGGAUGAAUUGUUUUAUGGGCAAAACCAGUGAAAAGCUAGAAGACAAAAAAAAAAGUGUUUUGAAAUUCCAAAAGGACAGGCGAGGGACCCUGCGGGAGGGAACAACAAAAGGGGUCUCAAAAAAAAAAAGUGGACGAACCCGUGCGCGUGAAAGGGGCGGACCCCCAGACCUCCCCGAAGGGCUCGUGCCUCACCCCUCGGGGGCCCGCAGCCACACCACUGUUUGAAACGUUAAUUAAUUCUCUCCCGGGGGAACAAUCCGGAAAAAAGAAUCAAACCGUUGCCACCCCACCGGUGUGGCGGCGGCCCCCCCAAGGGAAGGGCACCGAGCCUCUCGGGGGGGUUUGGGGGUCCCCCCCCUUCACAAAAAAAAAAAAAAACCAUCCUUACUUUACGAGCACCUUCUGUUCUCCCUCGGCAUGCGUCCUGCGCUGCCGUUGGAAUUACAAAACUCUUUUUUGCAUCUAGCAUUACCUGUUCCGACAAUAACAAUCGUUACAACUUUCAACAAUGGAUCUCUUGGCUCUGGCAUCGAUGAAGAACGCAGCGAAAUGCGAUAAGUAGUGUGAAUUGCAGAAUUCAGUGAAUCAUCGAAUCUUUGAACGCACAUUGCGCCCCUCGGUAUUCCGUGGGGCGUGGAGUAUUCGAGCGUCAUCUACACCCUCAAGCUCUGCUUGGUGUUGGGCGUCUGUCCCGCCUCGGCGCGCGGACUCGCCCCAAAUGCAUUGGCAGCGGUCUUUGCCUCCUCUCGCGCAGCACAUUGCGCUUCUCGAGGUGUCGCGGACACGCGUCCAGUAAGCAACAUUACCGUCUUGACUCGAUCAGGUACGGAUAA